rnacentral:rRNA from 1 species
UACGUAGGGUGCGAGCGUUGUCCGGAAUUAUUGGGCGUAAAGAGCUCGUAGGCGGUUUGUUGCGUCGGCUGUGAAAUCCCGAGGCUCAACCUCGGGUCUGCAGUCGAUACGAGCAAACUAGAGUGUUGCAGGGGAGACUGGAAUUCCUGGUGUAGCGGUGAAAUGCGCAGAUAUCAGGAGGAACGCCGGUGGCGAAGGCGGGUCUCUGGGCAACAACUGACGCUGAGGAGCGAAAGCGUGGGGAGCGAACAGG